AUUGAACGCUGGCGGCAUGCUUUACACAUGCAAGUCGAACGGCAGCGGGGAGGAGCUUGCUUCUCUGCCGGCGAGUGGCGAACGGGUGAGUAAUACAUCGGAACGUGUCGAGAAGAGGGGGAUAACCACCCGAAAGGGUGGCUAAUACCGCAUAAAUUCUGAGGAAGAAAGCUGGGGACCUAGGAAUAGGCCUAGCGCUUUUUGAGCGGCCGAUGUCGGAUUAGCUAGUUGGUGAGGUAAAGGCUCACCAAGGCGAAGAUCUGUAGCGGGUCUGAGAGGAUGAUACGCCACACUGGGACUGAGACACGGCCCAGACUCCUACGGGAGGCAGCAGUGGGGAAUUUUGGACAAUGGGGGCAACCCUGAUCCAGCCAUGCCGCGUGUAUGAAGAAGGCCUUAGGGUUGUAAAGUACUUUUGUUAGGGAAGAAAAGUCAGCUGUGAAUAAUGGCUGAUACUGACGGUACCUAAAGAAUAAGCACCGGCUAACUACGUG
rnacentral:rRNA from 1 species